AACAAACGCUGGCGGCGUGCCUAAUACAUGCAAGUCGAACGAGGAAAGCUUUCGGGUGAGUACUAGUGGCGCACGGGUGAGGAAUAUAUGGGUAAUCUGCCCUCGAGUUGGGGAUAACCAGUCGAAAGACUGGCUAAUACCGAAUAAGACCACAGGAUCUGCGGAUCUAGGGGUUAAAGGUUUUUCGCUUGAGGAUGAGCCCAUACGGGAUUAGCUAGUUGGCGAGGUAAUGGCUCACCAAGGCUACGAUCCCUAACUGGUCUUAGAGGAUGAUCAGUCACACUGGAACUGAGACACGGUCCAGACUCCUACGGGAGGCAGCAGUAGGGAAUAUUGCACAAUGGGGGAAACCCUGAUGCAGCGACGCCGCGUGAGUGAUGAAGGCCUUCGGGUCGUAAAGCUCUGUCGUAUGGGACUAACACAAUGAAGGUACCAUGCAAGAAAGGAUCGGCUAACUUCGUGCCAGCAGCCGCCGUAA
rnacentral:rRNA from 1 species